rnacentral:rRNA from 1 species
UACGUAGGGUGCAAGCGUUGUCCGGAAUUAUUGGGCGUAAAGAGCUCGUAGGCGGUUCGUCGCGUCGGCUGUGAAAACCCGGAGCUCAACUCCGGGCCUGCAGUCGAUACGGGCGGACUUGAGUGUUGCAGGGGAGACUGGAAUUCCGUGGUGUAGCGGUGAAAUGCGUAGAUAUUGGGAAGAACACCUGAGGCGAAGGCGGGUUGCUGGGCCGACACUGACGCUGAGGCGCGAAAGCCAGGGGAGCGAACGGG